rnacentral:rRNA from 1 species
AGUAUGAUGGUUUAAUAAUUUAUUAAGAUUUUUAAAUUGAGAAAAACUAAAUUUUAAGUUUAAGUAAGAAUACUUAAAUUAUUAAGGGGGACGAUAAGACCCUAAAAUCUUAAGCUAAGGCUAAAAAUAGGGGUUAUGGUUAUGUGUUUUAGUCUAGUGUUUUAGCUGGGGUAGUUUUUUUAUUUAAAUUAAGAUUGGAUAGAGCUAAUUAAGGUUGUGCGUUCCUUUAUAUAAGGAUAAGUAGAUUAAGUUACUUUAGGGGUAACAGCGUAAUAUUUUUGGAGAGAUCUUAUUUAUAAAAAUGAUUGCGACCUCGAUGUUGAAUUAAAUAUUUUUUAUGGGGCAGAAAACAUGAGAGACAGGUUUGUUCAACCUAUGAUAUUUUACAUGAUUU